UCAAAGAUUUAUCGCUUAGAGAUGGACUCGCGUCCGAUUAGUUAGUUGGUGAGGUAACGGCUCACCAAGACCGCGAUCGGUAGCCGGUCUGAGAGGUUGAACGGCCACAUUGGGACUGAGACACGGCCCAGACUCCUACGGGAGGCAGCAGUGGGGGAUAUUGCGCAAUGGGGGAAACCCUGACGCAGCAACGCCGCGUGAAGGAUGAAGGUCUUCGGAUUGUAAACUUCUUUUAUUAAGGACGAAGAAAGUGACGGUACUUAAUGAAUAAGCUCCGGCUAACUACGUGCCAGCAGCCGCGGUAAUACGUAGGGAGCAAGCGUUGUCCGGAUUUACUGGGUGUAAAGGGUGCGUAGGCGGCUUUGCAAGUCAGAUGUGAAAUCUAUGGGCUCAACCCAUAGCCUGCAUUUGAAACUGCAGAGCUUGAGUGAAGUAGAGGCAGGCGGAAUUCCCCGUGUAGCGGUGAAAUGCGUAGAGAUGGGGAGGAACACCAGUGGCGAAGGCGGCCUGCUGGGCUUUAACUGACGCUGAGGCACGAAAGCGUGGGU
rnacentral:rRNA from 1 species